rnacentral:rRNA from 1 species
AUACGUAGGGGGCGAGCGUUGUCCGGAAUUACUGGGCGUAAAGGGUGCGCAGGUGGCUUGGCAAGUCGGAUGUGAAAUACUCUUGCUUAACGAGAGGGGUGCAUACGAAACUGCUGAGCUUGAGUGCAGGAGAGGGAAGCGGAAUUCCUAGUGUAGCGGUGAAAUGCAUAGAUAUUAGGAGGAACACCAGUGGCGAAGGCGGCUUUCUGGACUGUAACUGACACUGAGGCACGAAAGCGUGGGGAGC